rnacentral:lncRNA from 1 species
CUGACAACGAAGAGGAAACAUUUAACUGGGCAGUGCCUUUAUUAACAUAAAUUAAAUAGGAGAAAGAGGAGGAGGACGAGGAAACGGGGCCGAACAUCGGCAGCUUCUCCACAGCCCCCCCACCCCGGCGGCGGCUGUCGCCUCAGCUCCCCCCAGCGGCGGGGCCGGCGGGCUCCGGAGGGCGCGGCUGAGGGGAGGGGACUGCGGGGGGCGGGCGGACUGGGCCCAAGGCCGUCGCGGGCCUCAGUCGGUCCCGGCGGACGGGGGACCCGGCGGGCGGCUUGGUGCGCUUGAGGAGCGACAUGGCGGUGAAGCCGAGAAGCCCGGGCGGCCCGCUGUGUCCAGAGAAGGGGGCGGGGCUAGACGCGGCCUUGCCGACCAUUAGAGCGCUGAGCGACCCGGAGACUACAUUUCCCAGGGGGCCCCGCGCGGCGCGUUUCGAGCCGAGUGCGCAGGCGCACGAAGCUCUAUGAUUAUAUAAGGGCGGGCCUCGUCCCUGUCUGUCCUUUCGCGUCGGCGGCGGUUGGCUCGGGGUUGAUCUGUAGCAUCGUGGUCUCUCGCACGAUGUCUCCCAGUGUCGAAGCCCCGCUUUGUGUGUGGUCCGAGGGGACGGCACGGACGUGGGAGGCCGGAGUGACCUGGGCUUGCGCGGGAGCGCCAGAUGCGGGCCUCGAACCUCGGUCUGCAGGGUUUGUUCUCGGCGGACGCCAUGCUUGGGAGGGACCUAGGUGACCCCUGUGGGGAAGGUAAGCUGAGCCCAGGUGGCCCUCAGCUCGGGGAUUGCCUCCUGGGCGUUGUACUCGCCCAGACUCACGCGGCCCUUGCAGGUGAUGACAUAACUUUUUUCCCCAUCAGAUCGACCCUGUUGAUCUAACUACACGAUUAGCCAGUUUUGUCUGAUGCAUUGGCCACACAGGAGCUCUGGUCCUGCUUCCCUGCACUCUAGUGUGGGUUGUGCUGGCUCUGGGUUCUUCUGCUCAGAGGUCAUCUUGGCUCUGUCCUCUCCCUACAGAUCAGGAGUCUGUGUGGCAGUGCGUCGGUGUCUGAUCUUCGUCCUGUAACAGGUGAGUUCGCUGCUUUCCGCCCUCGAUCCCAUAGCAAGGUGAUGUGCACCCUAGGGCCUAUAAGGAGUUUCAGCCCUUCUUCUUGACGUCCGGGUCACCUGACAGUCGGGAUUCAGCUGAUAGUUGUUACAUACAGACCUUCAAGUGUGUAGAAAUGAAUGUUUUCUCAGUGGAUCAAAUGUGUGGUUCCCUCGUUACUCAGGGUCUCACUUUCUGAAAUUUUUAGGUGAAAGGCAGAUGCCAGCGGCUGGGGCCAGACUGUGCUGAAG